GGCAACUUGGCCGAGCGGUCUAAGGCGCCAGAAUCAGGAUCCCACUAUCUGGUCCUCCGGGGCGUGAGUUCGAAUCUCACAGUUGUCA
rfam:Cylindrobasidium torrendii FP15055 ss-10 unplaced genomic scaffold CYLTOscaffold_18, whole genome shotgun sequence.